GGGUCUUUAUGGCCCAACCUCCCACCCGUGACUAUUGUACCUUGUUGCUUCGGCGGGUCCCGCCAGCGUUGCUGGCCGCCGGGGGGCGACUCGCCCCCGGGCCCGUGCCCGCCGGAGACCCCAACAUGAACCCUGUUCUAAAAGCUUGCACUCUGAGUUGUGAUUCUUUGCAAUCAUUUAAAACUUUCAACAAUGGAUCUCUUGGUUCCGGCGUCUAUGAAGAACACAUCGAAAUGCUAUAACUAAUGUGAAUUGCAGAAUUCAUUGAAUCAUCGAGUCUUUGAACGCACAUUGCGCCCCCUGGUAUUCCGGGGGGCAUGCCUGUCCGAGCGUCAAUGAUGCCCUCAAGCCCGGCUUGUGUGUUGGGCCCUCGUCCCCCGGCUCCCGGGGGACGGGCCCGAAAGGCAGCGGCGGCACCGCGUCCGGUCCUCGAGCGUAUGGGGCUUCGUCUUCCGCUCCGUAGGCCCGGCCGGCGCCCGCCGACGCAUUUAUUUGCAACUUGUUUUUUUCCAGGUUGACCUCGGAUCAGGUAGGGAUACCCGCUGAACUUAAGCAUAUCAAUAAGGCGGAGGAA
rnacentral:rRNA from 1 species